rnacentral:rRNA from 1 species
UACGGAGGGUGCAAGCGUUAUCCGGAUUCACUGGGUUUAAAGGGUGCAUAGGCGGGUAUAUAAGUCAGUGGUGAAAGCUCCGGGCUUAACUUGGAAACUGCCAUUGAUACUGUAUAUCUUGAAUGUCGUUGAGGUUAGCGGAAUGUUGCAUGUAGCGGUGAAAUGCUUAGAUAUGUUGCAGAACACCAAUUGUGAAGACAGCUAACUAAGCGAUGAUUGACGCUGAGGCACGAAAGCGUGGGGAGCAAACAGG